GGGACCGAUGAUGAGAUCUGGUGGAGUCUGAGUGUUUCUCGAUGACAGCCGUCUUAUCCGAAAUCUGAGGUCCGA
ensembl:snoRNA